CAGUCGCCACGGUAAUACAGAGGGUGCGAGCGUUAAUCGGAUUUACUGGGCGUAAAGCGUGCGUAGGCGGCUUUUUAAGUCGGAUGUGAAAUCCCUGAGCUUAACUUAGGAAUUGCAUUCGAUACUGGGAAGCUAGAGUAUGGGAGAGGAUGGUAGAAUUCCAGGUGUAGCGGUGAAAUGCGUAGAGAUCUGGAGGAAUACCGAUGGCGAAGGCAGCCAUCUGGCCUAAUACUGACGCUGAGGUACGAAAGCAUGGGGAGCAAACAGGAUUAGAGACCCGCGUAGUCCCUGUCUCUCAUAC
rnacentral:rRNA from 1 species